AUUGAACGCUGGCGGCAGGCCUAACACAUGCAAGUCGAACGAGUGGCGGACGGGUGAGUAAUGUCUGGGAAACUGCCCGAUGGAGGGGGAUAAAUACUGGAAACAGUCGCUAAUACCGCAUACUAUGGGAUGACCCUAGCUGGGAUUAGCUAGUAGGUGGGGUAACGGCUCACCUAGGCGACGACCACUAGCUGGUCUGAGAGGAUGACCAGCCACACUGUAACUGAGACACGUUCCAGACUCCUACGGGAGGUAGCAGUGGGGAAUAUUGCACAAUGGGCGCAAGCCUGAUGCAGCCAUGCCGCGUGUAUGAAGAAGGCCUUCGGGUUGUAAAGUACUUUCAGCGAGGAGGCGUUACUCGCAGAAGAAGCACCGGCUAACUCCGUGCCAGCAGCCGCGGUAAUAC
rnacentral:rRNA from 1 species